rnacentral:lncRNA from 1 species
CCUCUUGGCUUGUCCCCUUGGGCAACAAGUGGUAUCAGAGCAAGGUGCUCCAAUAGUACUUAUUGAUCUCACAAUCAAGAGUUAAAGAUCAUGACAACCCAAGUGGGAUGUUCUAUGAGUGAGGGGCAAUCCACAAAUAGACCUCCUCUAUUUAAUGGCACAAAUUACACAUAUUGGAAAGCUAGGAUGAGGAUAUUUAUUCAAGCUUUAGACUAUGAAUUAUGGUACAUUAUUACUAAAGGACCUCACACACCCACACUUAAUAUAGAGGGCACUAUCAUACCCAAACCAGAAAUGGAUUGGAAUGAAAGUGAUAGAAGAUUAGCACAAUUAAAUGCAAAAGCAAUUAAUGUACUUUACUGUU